AUUGAACGCUGGCGGCAGGCCUAACACAUGCAAGUCGAGCGGAUGAAGGGAGCUUGCUCCUGGAUUCAGCGGCGGACGGGUGAGUAAUGCCUAGGAAUCUGCCUGGUAGUGGGGGAUAACGUCCGGAAACGGGCGCUAAUACCGCAUACGUCCUGAGGGAGAAAGUGGGGGAUCUUCGGACCUCACGCUAUCAGAUGAGCCUAGGUCGGAUUAGCUAGUUGGUGGGGUAAAGGCCUACCAAGGCGACGAUCCGUAACUGGUCUGAGAGGAUGAUCAGUCACACUGGAACUGAGACACGGUCCAGACUCCUACGGGAGGCAGCAGUGGGGAAUAUUGGAACAUGGGCGAAAGCCUGAUCCAGCCAUGCCGCGUGUGUGAAGAAGGUCUUCGGAUUGUAAAGCACUUUAAGUUGGGAGGAAGGGCAGUAAGUUAAUACCUUGCUGUUUUGACGUUACCAACAGAAUAAGCACCGGCUAACUUCGUG
rnacentral:rRNA from 1 species